GCCUGGCUGGCUGAGUCAGUGAAGCACGAGACUCCUGAUCUUGGAGUUGUGAGUUCAAGCCCCACAUUGGGUG
rnacentral:tRNA from 1 species